rnacentral:rRNA from 1 species
CGGAUAACGCACAUAUGCUGGAAUGCUUUAUGCGUAAAAUGGAUUCGUCUGCCCAAGGAUGGGUCUGCGGCCUAUCAGGUAGUAGUGGGUGUAAUGUACCUACUAGCCUACGACGGGUACGGGUUGUGAGAGCAAGAGCCCGGAGAUGGAUUCUGAGACAUGAAUCCAGGCCCUACGGGGCGCAGCAGGCGCGAAAACUUUACACUGCGCGAAAGCGCGAUAAGGGGACCUCGAGUGCGUGCGCAAUGCGUACGCUUUUCAGAUGCCUAAAAAGCAUGUGGAAUAAGGGCCGGGCAAGACCGGUGCCAGCCGCCGCGGUAACACCGGCGGCUCAAGUGGUGGCCGCUAUUAUUGGGCUUAAAGGGUCCGUAGCCGGACCAGUUAGUCCCUUGGGAAAUCUUACGGCUUAACCGUAAGGCUGCCAAUGGAUACUGCUGGUCUUGGGACCGGGAGAGGUAAGAGGUACUUCAGGGGUAGGAGUGAAAUCCUGUAAUCCUUGAGGGACCGCCAGUGGCGAAGGCGUCUUACUAGAACGGGUCCGACGGUGAGGGACGAAAGCUAGGGGCACGAACCGGAUUAGAUACCCGGGUAGUCCUAGCCGUAAACGAUGCGAGCUAGGUGUCACGUGGAUUGCGAAUCCAUGUGGUGCCGAAGGGAAACCGUGAAGCUCGCCGCCUGGGAAGUACGGCCGCAAGGCUGAAACUUAAAGG